rnacentral:misc_RNA from 1 species
AAGUCGUAACAAGGUCUCCGUUGGUGAACCAGCGGAGGGAUCAUUACAGAGUUGCAAAACUCCCCAAACCAUUGUGAACCUUACCUUCUACCGUUGCUUCGGCGGGCGGGCCACAGCGCCCCCCGGGCCCCCUCGGGGGCGCCCGCCGGAGGAUAACCGAACUCUUGAUAUUCAUGGCCUCUCUGAGUCUUCUGUACUGAAUAAGUCAAAACUUUCAACAACGGAUCUCUUGGUUCUG